UCACAGUCAUCAAGUAAUAAUAAAAUAUUCCCAUAACAUUAAAAAUCGUCAUAGGAACUGUUAUCGAGUAUUUCAAAAAAACAGUUUUUACUUCCAAAAAAAAAAAAUUAAAUAUUCUGAAUCCUAGUUUCUUGUUUAAAUAUUUAAAAUGUUUUCAAAAACCGUGAUACAGAUUUUUUGCGUGGCAUUUUAUUUUAUGCAAUGUCAAGGUGCUGGCCCUACUAAACAACAACUUCAAAUCAUGAGCAAAUGUCAAGGUGCUGGCCCUACUAAACAACAACUUGAAAAAAUAAAAAAAAUAGUCAGUGAACAUCACAAGCCGAGUGGCUUGCACUACGAAGAUUUAUUAAUUGUUUUUGACGAAGUAAAACAAGCAACGGGCGCACGUGGAAACUUCCCCAGCCGUGAUGAA